UUCUAGCAUUUCUUUGCGAUUUAAAUGAAAAGUUAAAACUUGUUUUCUUUUCAAUUUUUGUGUUUCGGUUUUUGUUUUCGCCCUUUCUCUUUCACUUUUCUUGGACAGGAUAUCAGUGCCGUUGGGUUUCUUGAAACAAAGAAGCAGUAAAAGUUUCAUUUUGAAGAAAUAUUUGGAAAAAUCAUAAACUUAAAAAUAGUUUGAAAGCCUGGGAAUUUUUGUUUUGAGAAAAAGAUUACAUCAGCAACAAAACAAAACGCCCUAAUCUUAACAGUGUAAUGUCUGAGACACAACAAGAAACCAUGAACAAGAAUUCAGAAUCUUCAACCAAACCAAAUAGCAACAACAAUUCACCCAAACCCAAACCCCCUUUCAAACCAGCAAAGGACGACACCAAGCCCGUGCUUCAAGACCCUAUACUCAGAUCCGACCCAAUUGAAACGGAAGAAGCUGUGUUGCGAUUGCCUCCAUUCUCAGUCCCCACUUCAGCUUCUCCACCUGCAGAGGCCUAAAGUUUUGCAGGAUUGCAUCUUGGACAUUAAUGAGGAAAUCAUCUUCUGUUUUCAAAGAUUCACUAAAGAAACUCUGCAAAAUCUGUGACUAACUGUCACCAUGUCUGUCAUGCCUCUUGUGUAGUUCAUCCAUACCUUCUUGCUGAUAAUCGGCAUUACCCUUUUUAUCUUUGGAGGAAAAUUAUAAUGGCUCAUUGAUCAACUAAAUACCCUCUGGUCCCAGUUUAUAUAUAUGUUCAUGGCUUUCCAUCAUCCACAUGUUGGGAAAAGCUAGAAGUAAAAUAUGGGUUUUGGCAUACUUCUUGGCCACUGCAGCUGUUCUUGUACCAGCUCCACUGAUAGAGUUCAGAUACUACACCAUACCAUUCUAUUUCCUGGUGCUUCACUGUGACAAUAGUGAUGAUCAAAGUUGGAUUCUCACAGGCAUACUGUAUAUUGCGGUCAAUAUCUUUUCAAUGGCCAUGUUUCUGUUUCGGCCUUUCCAUUGGGAUCAUGAGCCUGGAAUUCAAAGGUUUAUAUGGUGAUUCAAUUCAUUGAAAAAAAUAUUUGUGACAGCGAAACUACCUUUUUUUGUGAGGCUUUUACCUCCAGUUUUAUAAGAGUGGAAUUUUAAAUCUA